GGCCGCGGGAAUUCGAUUCAGGCCUAACACAUGCAAGUCGAGCGGUAGAGAGAAGCUUGCUUCUCUUGAAAAAAGCGGACGGGUGAGUAAUGCCUAGGAAUCUGCCUGGUAGUGGGGGAUAACGUCCGGAAAGGGACGCUGAUACCGCAUACGUCCUACGGGAGAAAGCAGGGGACCUUCGGGCCUGGCGCUAUCAGAUGAGCCUAGGUCGGAUUAGCUAGUUGGUGGGGUAAUGGCUCACCAAGGCGACGAUCCGUAACUGGUCUGAGAGGAUGAUCAGUCACACUGGAACUGAGACACGGUCCAGACUCCUACGGGAGGCAGCAGUGGGGAAUAUUGGACAAUGG
rnacentral:rRNA from 1 species